rnacentral:lncRNA from 13 species
AUGUGGCCCCCGGGGACAUGGAGGACCCUGGAGCUUUGGGGGUCCCACCGAGCCCCCUGUCCCCAUCGGAGUCCCCCCGGGAGGAGGCGGCUCCGGGCAAGGAGAAGGCGGUGGCCGAGGAAGAAGAGCUGCGGGAAGGAGGUACGGGGAUGGGGGCAGGAGACCCUUCACCCACCCCAAAAAUGGGGUGAAGGUGCUGCCACUGGAGCAGGGGGAGCUUGGAGGUGGUGGGACCCAAAAACCAUCUCAGUGGCCCCAAAAGUUGUCUUCUGGGGGUCAAAACCAUCUCAGUGGAGCCAAAACCAAAAUCCUGGGGUCAAAACCCAUCUCUUUGGGCACAAAACCAUGUCCUUGGGUCAAAAUCAACUUUUUGGGGUCAAAACCCAUUUCACUGGGACAAAACCACCUCACUGGGUCAAAACCCAUCUCUUAGGCUCAAAACCCAUCUUGUUUGGGCUUCAAAACAUCUCUUUGGGUUCAGAACCUUCUCCUUGGGAUCAAAAACCGUCUUGGGCUCCAGAACCAUUUUCUUGGGUCAAAACCCAUGUCCUCGGGCCAAAAUCAUCUCCUUGGACUCCAAAACCAUCUUGGGUCAAAAACCAUCUCCUUGAGUCAAAAACCGUUUUGGGUUCAAAACCAUGCCUUUGGGUCAAAACCAAUUUUUUGGGGUCAAAAACCAUCUCAUUGGGUUCAAAACCAUCUCCCUGGGCACAAAAUCAUCUCUUUAGGCUCAAAAGCCAGCUUGGACUCAAAACCCAUCUUGCUGGGCUCCGAAACAUUUCCUUGGGUCAAAAACCAUCUCAGUGGCUCAAAGACCGUCUUGGGCUCAAAACCAUCUCAUUGGCUCAAAACCAUCUUGGGUCAAAAACCAUCUCCUUGAGUCAAAUCCGUUUUGGGUUCGAAAACAUCUCAAUGGGCACAAAAUCAUCUCCUUGUGCUCCAAAACCGUCUCCUUGGGUCAAACCCCGCCUGAUUGGAGGUCCAACCUCACCCUUCUCCCCAUGGUCCUGA